rnacentral:rRNA from 1 species
GACGAACGCUGGCGGCGUGCUUAACACAUGCAAGUCGAGCGGUAAGGCCCUUUCGGGGGUACACGAGCGGCGAACGGGUGAGUAACACGUGGGUGACCUGCCCUCAGCUCUGGGAUAAGCCUGGGAAACCGGGUCUAAUACCGGAUAUGACUCCAUGACGCAUGUUGUGGGGUGGAAAGCCUUGUGCGGCUGAGGAUGGGCCCGCGGCCUAUCAGCUUGUUGGUGGGGUGAUGGCCUACCAAGGCGACGACGGGUAGCCGGCCUGAGAGGGCGACCGGCCACACUGGGACUGAGACACGGCCCAGA